GAUGAACGCUGGCGGCGUGCCUAAUACAUGCAAGUCGAGCGAACAGACGAGGAGCUUGCUCCUCUGACGUUAGCGGCGGACGGGUGAGUAACACGUGGAUAACCUACCUAUAAGACUGGGAUAACUUCGGGAAACCGGAGCUAAUACCGGAUAAUAUAUUGAACCGCAUGGUUCAAUAGUGAAAGACGGUUUUGCUGUCACUUAUAGAUGGAUCCGCGCCGCAUUAGCUAGUUGGUAAGGUAACGGCUUACCAAGGCGACGAUGCGUAGCCGACCUGAGAGGAUGGUUGGAGACACUGGAACUGCGCCACGGACCAGGCUCCUACGGGAGGAAGCAGUGGGGAAUAUUGGACAAGGGGGUAAAGCCUGAUCCAGCAAUGCCGCGUGUGUCAAGAAGGUCUUCGGACUGUAAAGCACUUUAAGUGGGAAGAAAGGGAAGUCAGAUAAUACCUUCCCGUCUUCACGUUACCAAAAGAAUAAGCAACGGCUAACUUCGUG
rnacentral:rRNA from 1 species